rnacentral:rRNA from 1 species
AGCGGCGGAUGGGUGAGUAACACGUGGGGAACCUGCCCCUAAGUCUGGGAUACCAUUUGGAAACAGGUGCUAAUACCGGAUAAUAAAGCAGAUCGCAUGAUCAGCUUUUGAAAGGCGGCGUAAGCUGUCGCUAAGGGAUGGCCCCGCGGUGCAUUAGCUAGUUGGUAAGGUAACGGCUUACCAAGGCGACGAUGCAUAGCCGAGUUGAGAGACUGAUCGGCCACAUUGGGACUGAGACACGGCCCAAACCCCUACGGGAGGCAGCAGUAGGGAAUCUUCCACAAUGGACGCAAGUCUGAUGGAGCAACGCCGCGUGAGUGAAGAAGGUUUUCGGAUCGUAAAGCUCUGUUGUUGGUGAAGAAGGAUAGAGGUAGUAACUGGCCUUUAUUUGACGGUAAUCAACCAGAAAGUCACGGCUAACUACGUGCCAGCAGCCGCGGUAAUACGUAGGUGGCAAGCGUUGUCCGGAUUUAUUGGGCGUAAAGCGAGCGCAGGCGGAAAAAUAAGUCUAAUGUGAAAGCCCUCGGCUUAACCGAGGAACUGCAUCGGAAACUGUUUUUCUUGAGUGCAGAAGAGGAGAGUGGAACUCCAUGUGUAGCGGUGGAAUGCGUAGAUAUAUGGAAGAACACCAGUGGCGAAAGGCGGCUCUCUGGUCUGCAACUGACGCUGAGGCUCGAAAGCAUGGGUAGCGAACAGGAUUAGAUACCCUGGGUAGUCCAUGCCGUAACGAUGAGUGCUAAGUGU